rnacentral:rRNA from 1 species
GGGGAAGCCCUUCGGGGCAGGAAGACAGGUGGUGCAUGGUUGUCGUCAGCUCGUGUCGUGAGAUGUUGGGUUAAGUCCCGCAACGAGCGCAACCCUUAUCAUUAGUUGCUACCAUCAAGUUGAGCACUCUAGUGAGACUGCCACGGUUAACGUGGAGGAGGGUGGGGAUGACGUCAAAUCAUCAUGCCCCUUAUGUCUAGGGCUACACACGUGCUACAAUGGUGAAUACAAAUAGAUGCAAUACCGCGAGGUGGAGCCAAACUAUAAAAUUCAUCCCAGUUCGGAUUGUAGUCUGAAACUCGACUACAUGAAGCCGGAGUUGCUAGUAAUCGCGAAUCAGCAUGUCGCGGUGAAUACGUUCCCGGGCCUUG